rnacentral:rRNA from 1 species
CGGGGGGGGGGGCAAGCGUUGCUCGGGAAUUACUGGGGCGUAAAGGGCGCGCAGGCGGCCCGGCCAGUCCUACGUGAAAUCCCACAGCUCAACUGUGGAACUGCGUGGGAUACUGCCAGGCUUGAGUCCCGGGAGAGGAGAGUGGAAUUCCCAGUGUAGCGGUGAAAUGCGUAGAUAUUGGGAGGAACACCGGUGGCGAAGGCGGCUCUCUGGACCGGCACUGACGCUGAGGCGCGAAAGCUAGGGGAGCAAACGGGAUUAGAUACCCCGGUAGUCCUAGCCCUAAACGAUGAACACUUUGUGUGGCGGGUAUCGACCCCUGCCGUGCAGAAGCUAACGCAUUAAGUGCUCCGCCUGGGGAGUACGGUCGCAAAGGCUG